rnacentral:rRNA from 1 species
GGGGUAAACCUGCGAAACUCGAAUGAACGAACGGAGAGAUUCAUCGUCAUUUCGCGGCGUACGGGCGGGCGCUCGAUGUCCUCGGCCUCGGCCGGGGGCACGUCGCUCGCUCGUCGCGUCCGCGGACGGCGUGCACUUCUCUCUUAGUAUCCACAUGCAUCGCGACCCGUUCGAUGUCGGUCUAAGCGCCGUUCGGGAGCCCCGUGGUCGCCGGCGACGGUGGCUGUGGGACCGGACGGACGCCGACCGGCCGUCGGACGGUAGUUACAAUGAAGCGCGCACGCGUUUACGCGUCCGGCCCGACGCAAGUCAACGUCGUAUCCCGCGCUCCGACCGAGUUCGGACGUGGGUGCGGCGCGUCUGUCGUCGCUGCCGUGGUCUCGGACUGUGCGCGUCUCAGUCAGCGAUGAUUCAGUUUCGGGCACUCGCAGGACCCGUCUUGAAACACGGACCAAGGAGUCUAGCAUGUAUGCGAGUCAUUGAGUACAUUUUGACAAAACUGAAAGGCGUAACGAAAGUGAAGGCGUGCGCUCGUCGCGCGCUCAGGGAGGAUGGAGCGUCGAUCUCGGUCGAUCUCUCGCACUCCCGAGGCGUCUCGUUUCCAAUCCGUGAAUGCAGGCGCGCUC